UACGUAGGGCGCAAGCGUUAUCCGGAAUUAUUGGGCGUAAAGAGCUCGUAGGCGGUUUGUCGCGUCUGCUGUGAAAAUCCAGGGCUUAACUCCGGGCCUGCAGUGGGUACGGGCAGACUAGAGUGCGGUAGGGGAGACUGGAAUUCCUGGUGUAGCGGUGAAAUGCGCAGAUAUCAGGAGGAACACCGGUGGCGAAGGCGGGUCUCUGGGCCGUAACUGACGCUGAGGAGCGAAAGCGUGGGGAGCGAACAGG
rnacentral:rRNA from 1 species